UAAUUUGCUGGGGUGAAAUAAAGUGAAUAUGGGUAUCAAUUCCACCAGCAGUAGCAAUCAAAUUGGCUCCAUUAUGCACUUCAGUGGAUGCACCAAUAAUCAUAUUCGGACUGACACCAUCCAUGGUAUCAGGAUUACCAGCCUGCCCCACCCCGACGAUUUUGCCAUCACGUAUACCAAUAUCAGCUUUGACAAUGCCCCAGUAAUCGAUGAUCAGUACAUUGGUGAUCACUAAAUCGAGCACAUUGGGAUUGUUGCGCGGCGCAGUUGCUGAUUGUGCCAUGCCAUCCC
rnacentral:sRNA from 1 species